CGAAAGCUAUUUAGGUAGCGCCUCGGACGAAUACCAUAGGGGGUAGAGCACUGUUUCGGCUAGGGGGUCAUCCCGACUUACCAAACCGAUGCAAACUCCGAAUACCUAUGAGUACUAUCCGGGAGACAGACUGCGGGUGCUAACGUCCGUAGUCAAGAGGAAAACAAUCCAGACCGCCAGCUAAGGCCCCAAAAUCAUAGUUAAGUGGGAAACGAUGUGGGAAGGCAUAGACAGCUAGGAGGUUGGCUUAGAAGCAGCCACCCUUUAAAGAAAGCGUAAUAGCUCACUAGUCGAGUCGGCCUGCGCGGAAGAUGUAACGGGGCUAAAACUAUGUGCCGAAGCUGCGGAUGUAUACUUUGUAUACGUGGUAGGGGAGCGUUCUGUAAGCCGAUGAAGGUGUGUUGAGAAGCAUGCUGGAGGUAUCAGAAGUGCGAAUGCUGACGUGAGUAACGACAAAACGGGUGAAAAACCCGUUCGCCGAAAGACCAAGGGUUCCAGUCCAACGUUAAUCGGGGCUGGGUGAGUCGACCCCUAAGGCGAGGCCGAAAGGCGUAGUCGAUGGGAAAAUGGUUAAUAUUCCAUUACUUCUGUGUAAUGCGAUGAGAGGACGGAGAAGGCUAAAUCAGCCUGGCGUUGGUUGUCCAGGUGAAAGGAUGUAGGCAUGUAUCUUAGGCAAAUCCGGGGUACUCUAUGCUGAGAUC
rnacentral:rRNA from 1 species